UGGGGAAUCUUGGACAAUGGGGGCAACCCUGAUCCAGCCAUGCCGCGUGAGUGAUGAAGGCCUUAGGGUCGUAAAGCUCUUUCGCCUGUGAAGAUAAUGACGGUAGCAGGUAAAGAAACCCCGGCUAACUCCGUGCCAGCAGCCGCGGUAAUACGGAGGGGGUUAGCGUUGUUCGGAAUUACUGGGCGUAAAGCGCACGUAGGCGGAUCGGAAAGUUGGGGGUGAAAUCCCGGGGGCUCAACCCCGGAACUGCCUCCAAAACUAUCGGUCUAGAGUUCGAGAGAGGUGAGUGGAAUUCCGAGUGUAGAGGUGAAAUUCGUAGAUAUUCGGAGGAACACCAGUGGCGAAGGCGGCUCACUGGCUCGAUACUGACGCUGAGGUGCGAAAGUGUGGGGAGCAAACAGGAUUAGAUACCCUGGUAGUCCACACCGUAAACGAUGAAUGCCAGUCGUCGGAUAGCAUGCUAUUCGGUGACACACCUAACGGAUUAAGCAUUCCGCCUGGGGAGUACGGUCGCAAGAUUAAAACUC
rnacentral:rRNA from 1 species